rnacentral:rRNA from 1 species
UACAGAGGGGGCAAGCGUUAUUCGGAAUUAUUGGGCGUAAAGGGCGCGUAGGCGGCUUGGCAAGUGGAUGGUGAAAUCCCUCGGCUUAACCGAGGAACUGCCGUCCAAACUGCUUCGCUUGAGACCGGGAGAGGUGAGUGGAAUUCCCAGUGUAGCGGUGAAAUGCGUAGAUAUUGGGAGGAACACCAGUGGCGAAGGCGAGUCCCUGGACAACACCUGACACUGAGGCACGAAAGCUAGGGGAGCAAACAGG